rnacentral:rRNA from 2 species
CAGUCGAGCGAAUGGAUUAAGAGCUUGCUCUUAUGAAGUUAGCGGCGGACGGGUGAGUAACACGUGGGUAACCUGCCCAUAAGACUGGGAUAACUCCGGGAAACCGGGGCUAAUACCGGAUAACAUUUUGAACCGCAUGGUUCGAAAUUGAAAGGCGGCUUCGGCUGUCACUUAUGGAUGGACCCGCGUCGCAUUAGCUAGUUGGUGAGGUAACGGCUCACCAAGGCAACGAUGCGUAGCCGACCUGAGAGGGUGAUCGGCCACACUGGGACUGAGACACGGCCCAGACUCCUACGGGAGGCAGCAGUAGGGAAUCUUCCGCAAUGGACGAAAGUCUGACGGAGCAACGCCGCGUGAGUGAUGAAGGCUUUCGGGUCGUAAAACUCUGUUGUUAGGGAAGAACAAGUGCUAGUUGAAUAAGCUGGCACCUUGACGGUACCUAACCAGAAAGCCACGGCUAACUACGUGCCAGCAGCCGCGGUAAUACGUAGGUGGCAAGCGUUAUCCGGAAUUAUUGGGCGUAAAGCGCGCGCAGGUGGUUUCUUAAGUCUGAUGUGAAAGCCCACGGCUCAACCGUGGAGGGUCAUUGGAAACUGGGAGACUUGAGUGCAGAAGAGGAAAGUGGAAUUCCAUGUGUAGCGGUGAAAUGCGUAGAGAUAUGG